AAGAGCGAGAGAGAGAAGAUGAUGAAAACGUCAAUGGCCGUCCCUACCCUAUUCCAGAAUCAGGAAAAAAGAAAAGAGCGAGAGAGAGAAGAUGAUGAAAACGUCAAUGGCUUCCCUAAGGUCAUUCUCCGCGAGGUUCGUGGUUGCUCCGCUGAGGUCUAUUGUUCAGUUAAGGUUUGUCGGAACCACAAGCAAAGAGAGAUAGGCCGUAUCCCCGUAACCGAAGCUAAGAGAAAGUAAGGACCUACAAUCAAGGAUGUUGGGAAAGGGUGAAUGGGAAAAGGAGCUACCUUUGUUGGGUUUCUUGGUUCAAUAAGAAAAAGGAGGAAGCUUUAUACGUUUUUGGUCGUGCUUUCCUUGGGUUUCUUUGAGAGGUUGGUUUGAUUGUUGUGGAGAGUUGUUGGUGGUCUUUUUGGGUUAGGAAAGGAUUCUGUUUAUGGAGUUAUAGAGGGCUGGAACAGUGGUACUUUUUGUAUUUGUUAUGUUACUUUUUUUCUUUUCUAUCUCAUUUGUCUAUAUUGAAUUGUGCUUAAGAACAGCCAAUGCUAUUGCCCAUUGUACCUAGAUAUAUAAAUUACUUUGUUAUAUACUACAGAAUAUGAGUAGCAAGAUAGAGUUACAAAAAAUUGCCCCCUUUUGUAAAAUAUGUUACUAUCUAAUUUUAUAAAUAACAUUUUUCUACCA